rnacentral:rRNA from 1 species
UACGGAGGGUGCAAGCGUUAUCCGGAUUCACUGGGUUUAAAGGGUGCGUAGGCGGGCAGGUAAGUCAGUGGUGAAAUCUCCGAGCUUAACUCGGAAACUGCCAUUGAUACUAUUUGUCUUGAAUAUUGUGGAGGUAAGCGGAAUAUGUCAUGUAGCGGUGAAAUGCUUAGAUAUGACAUAGAACACCAAUGGCGAAGGCAGCUUACUACACAAUGAUUGACGCUGAGGCGCGAAAGCGUGGGGAGCAAACGGG